AUACGGAGGGGGCUAGCGUUGUUCGGAAUUACUGGGCGUAAAGCGCUCGUAGGCGGCUUGUUAAGUCGGAUGUGAAAGCCCCGGGCUCAACCUGGGAACUGCAUUCGAUACUGGCAGGCUAGAGUAUAGUAGAGGCAAGUGGAAUUCCGGGUGUAGCGGUGAAAUGCGUAGAUAUCCGGAGGAACAUCAGUGGCGAAGGCGACUUGCUGGACUAAUACUGACGCUGAGGAGCGAAAGCGUGGGGAGCAAACGGGAUUAGAAACCCCAGUAGUCC
rnacentral:rRNA from 1 species